CAACGAGAAAACCAGAGUCGGGAC
rnacentral:siRNA from 1 species